rnacentral:rRNA from 1 species
CAUUAUUGAAUGAACUUGGUGUGGUUGUUGCUGGCUCUUUCGAGGGCAUGUGCACGCCCACCAUCCUCAUCUCUCCACCUGUGCACCUCUUGUAGACUUGGAUUGACUUUCCGAGGCAACUCGGUCGGGAGGAUUGCCGGCGCCAGCUGGCUUUCUUUGCAUUUCCAGGUCUACGUUUUUCAUAUACCCCAUUGUAUGUAACAGAAUGUAACAUUGGGCACUUGUGCCUAUAAACUUUAUACAACUUUCAGCAACGGAUCUCUUGGCUCUCGCAUCGAUGAAGAACGCAGCGAAAUGCGAUAAGUAAUGUGAAUUGCAGAAUUCAGUGAAUCAUCGAAUCUUUGAACGCACCUUGCGCUCCUUGGUAUUCCGAGGAGCAUGCCUGUUUGAGUGUCAUUAAAUUCUCAACCUUUAUCAACUUUUGUUGAUAAUGGCUUGGAUAUGGGGGUUUAUUUUGCUGGCUUCUUUACAGAUGGUCAGCUCCCCUUAAAUGCAUUAGCCGGUGCCCCGCGUGGACUGUCUAUUGGUGUGAUAAUUAUCUACGCCGUGGACAUCUGCAAUCAUAUGGGUUUGCACUGCUUCCAACUGUCUGUUGAAUCAGACAAUACAUGACAAUUUGACCUCAAAUCAGGUAGGACUACCCGCUGAACUUAAGCAUAUCAAUAAGCGGAGGAAAAGAAACUAACAAGGAUUCCCCUAGUAACUGCGAGUGAAGCGGGAAAAGCUCAAAUUUAAAAUCUGGCGGUCUCC